CGUAGGCGGACUUUUAAGUCGGGGGUGAAAGCCCAGGGCUCAACCCUGGAAUUGCCUUCGAUACUGGGAGUCUUGAGUUCGGAAGAGGUUGGUGGAACUGCGAGUGUAGAGGUGAAAUUCGUAGAUAUUCGCAAGAACACCGGUGGCGAAGGCGGCCAACUGGUCCGAUACUGACGCUGAGGCGCGAAAGCGUGGGGAGCAAACAGGAUUAGAUACCCGGGUAGUCCCAGCCGUAAACGAUGCUCGCUAGGUGUCAGGUGCGGUGCGACCGCAUCUGGUGCCGCAGUGAAAACUUGAAGCGAGUCACCUGGGAAGUACGGUCGCAAGGCUGAAACUUAGAGGAAUUGGCGGGGGAGCACUACAACGGGUGGAGCCUGCGGUUCAAUUGGAUUCAACGCCGGAAAGCUUACCGGGUCAGACAGCAAUAUGAAGGUCAAGCUAAAGACUUUACCGAAUUCGCUGAGAGGAGGUGCAUGGCCGUCGUCAGUUCGUAUCGUGAGACAUCCUGUUAAGUCAGGCAACGAGCAAGACCCGUGCCCACAGUUGCCAGCAUACCCUCCGGGGUGAUGGGCACACUGUGGGGACCGCCGCUGCUAAAGCGGAGGAAGGUGCGGGCUACGGUAGGUCAGUAUGCCCCGAAUCAUCCGGGCUACACGCGGGCUACAAUGGUUGGGACAAUGGGCACCUACACCGAGAGGUGAUGGUAAUCUCCUAAACCCAGCCUUAGUUCGGAUUGAGGGCUGCAACUCGCCCUCAUGAAGC
rnacentral:rRNA from 1 species